rnacentral:lncRNA from 10 species
AAAAAGUUAUGUCAUUAUGGUCUAUCUUAAGAUAAUGUUAUUUAAAGAGCUUCAGGAAAUUUGUGUCAAAUAUAAAAAUACACACAUCAUACAUGAUCUUCCAUUACAUGUAUUCAAAUUCAUAUAAGUCUCAAUCAUGUUCACAUGAUUUACAUCAUUUAGGCUUUUAUUUAGUUCAAUAACAUUUUACUUUAAAAAUCAAAUAUUAAGAAAGAACACUCCCAGCUUGUUAACUAAACUAAAAAGGGAGAAUUUUGAUUAGGAGAUAAUACUCUAUAACUGGAGUGGCAAUUUUGGUGCAUGAAAUACAAUGUUAGAAUUUUCAAAAUUUUCAUCUUCUGUUUCAUGGUUUUUUAAACUAUAUUUGAAUUUCCCAGGCCUAUUUUUAUUUUAUUUUUAUUUGUGUGUGUGUGUGUGUGGUUGAAGAAGUAAAGUGAAAAUAAACAUUGAGCUCUCUAAAUGAGUUAAUGCCUGGGUGGGGUCAAUAAGAGGGAAUACAAGAAGAGGGGUACCAUAGCAGAGCUGGGAGUGAGACUCCGAGCUUCUGGCUAUCUUCAGGUUUAUUUCAUUGGGCAUUCUUCCUGGACACCAACAUAAAUGUAUCAGGUUACAAACAGCCCACUGAAAGCAUGCCAUAUUGAACUGGGCUGGACUUUCCCUUUCCUGUUUCUGUGUCCUGCUUAAAGUUCCUUGCUUUUCAGUAUUUGUGCUUCAUUAUGGAUCAGGAGAUCCUUAUGAAGACUCAUGGUCCACUGCAAUAGCUACUUCAUCUCAAUUCUGCUAGCACAGUCCACCACCCCAUUCACUUGGUGUUUGUACAUGGUCUGGAUUGCUACUUUAUUCUUAAAAACUGUUUUAGUGUAAGAUGGUUGUUAAGAGUAAAACUCUGGAAUUAGGUGACCCUGGGUUCCAAGUCAGCUUCUGCUACGUAUUAGCCCUCUAUGAGCUUGGGCAAAUUAUUUAAACUCCCUACUGUUGAGUUACCUCAUUUGUAAAACUGAAAUAGCAAUUCUGUUGAGAUUUUAUGCGCUGUAGGGCAAUUAAGAUGGCAUUCUGACAUUUGACCAAAGCCACAUGCCCCAAUUUUGCCUUACCAUAGUCACCUCUGCCCAAGAAGUCCUUGAAGCUAGCAUGGAGCAGGCAGGGUUUUCUAAGCUCAAACUCUAGUGCAGAAGUGUGUAACAAAGUCUGGAAAACUUUGCUGUUUCCUCUUUUUCCUUUCGACCUCAAAUCAAAGUAGGUAAGCCUGUUCCAUUUAUGUCUGCACCAAAGUCUGAAUUUUAUUUCAAUUUAGCAUUUUGAUGGUGAUAUGGUUUGGCUGUGUCUUCACCCAAAUCUCAUCUUGAACUGCUCCCAUAAUCCCCACAGGUUGUGGGAGGGACCCAGUGGGAGGUAACUGAAUCAUGGGAGUGUUAUUUUUCCCAUGCUAUUUUGGUGGUAGUGAAUAAGUCUCAUGAGAUCUCAUUGUUUUAUAAAGGUCAGUUUCCCUGCACAUGCUCUCUUGCCUGCCACCAUGAAGACGUGACUUUGCUCCUCCUUCACCUUCUGUCACGAUUGUGAGGCCUCCCCAGCCAUGUGGAACUGAGGCUGGAUUUUAGGCUAUACCAUGACUUUGCAAGAGAUCACUGCAUUUUAACCCCUUUAGAAGAAUUUCCCUUUGAGUCUUGGGCAAUCAGGACAUCAAGAUUCUUCUGGUGAAGAAUGGCGGAGACUGCCUCUGUGGCAACCAUUUAUUUCUUCUGCCAAUAUUCCUUUCUGUAUUCGUCACAAGUGGCUUAAUGCAUUCUCACUUAUGCUUUCCCUGCAAGUAAGUCUCUAUCGAAUUGAACCUUCCCUGACCUGGAAAAGAGAGGGCAACUGCUCCUAGUCUUAUAGUUGUCACCUUUUGGAAGAUCUUAUCACCUACCAGGUAACCAUUUCUCACAUGGAAUGGGUUUGUCCUGUAUUAUAAUAGUUCCUCCCCUUUUUCUAAACAUAAGUUUAAAAUCACCAUAUGAUAUAUUUGAAAACCAUUUACUUUGAAAUUUUUUCUUCCUGACACUGACCCAUGACUAAAACUAUAUGUGUACAAAUGUGUGGCUUUUUGAGAUUUUCUUUAUCAAUUUUUCCAACUUACAUUCACGUAUUUUAUAAAUCUGAUAUAAUUGGAAAAUACCUUAUAUAAAUCCACUAACUUGUUAGAUCACCCCAUUUUUUCAUCACUAUGACUGUACAAAGAUAUUUGUCUUAUAGAAUCUGUCUACACUCCUUAAUUACGUUCUUUUAGCAUUUCUGGC